CAACAUUUAAUUGAUUUCAAAUCAAGAAGAAACACUUUUUUAUUAACCCAAUCUCAACAGCAACAAAGUUGAAACAUUGUUGUAGGUUUUCCUCAAAAGUCCCAUGAUGACAAAUCACAACAUUUUCACACCAUGACCAUAAACAAAAAUAUAACCACAUUCAUACAGAUGGUUACAUUGAAGGAAGCAAGCUAUAUUGUAUAACUACAGUAUGAAUAGUAAUAUAUAAUGGUAAUAGUAACGAUAUUGAUUUCAUAUUGAUAGAUUAAAAACAAAGACAUACACCCAAAACAAUCUUUAAUCAAACAUGAAUACAAUUGAAAAUAAUAUCUAAUCAGGUUACCACAUUAAUUCACACGAUAGAUAUCUUAAACAAACACCACUAAAUAUUUUGAAAUCCCUAAAUCACACCUAAAAUUACAUUUCAAAUAGCCAUAAUAUGGUAUUAAACAGUGAUUCUUAAUUAAAGCUGAUUUAAAAUGAUCACAUUUGCACUUAGAUUAGUUUAUAAUAUUAAACAGGGCUCUAAAAACUGCAUAUAUGGCCCAAUUGUGCAUAAUGCAUCCUCAUUCACUUUUAAGUCGUGAAGUCACAUACUCACUUGAUCAAAUUUCUCGAUCACCUUCAAUCAGUAUGAACCAAGGAGAGCCAGGAAGUGUUUUCUGAUUUUUUUCAGGUUUAACUUCCAUUUUCCAAAACUUCAGAUUCAUCCAAAUUGUGUGAGGAGACAGUGUCUCUCCUCUGCAUGUAAAUAAAGAAAGAAAAGUGUAUCAGCAUUACCAAGAGCAGAGCUGCAACUAUCUUUACUGAAGCAUGGUGCUAGUCUACAGUGGAGCUACAUUAUUAGUAGCUCCACAGAAAAAUAGAUCCAGCUUCUCACUUUACUUAAAGACGUAACCUUUGUCUUUACUACAUAUUACAGGCAUUUCCCCCAUUUUCUUACAUGUACAGACCAAAUUAUAAAAGUAAACUAAUUGAGGAAGUAAUCGCUUCUUAAUAAAUGAUUAAAAUAAUCAUUAAGCAGCAGGCAUAGAUGGUUUUAACUCCAGAGGCAAGAUCAAUGUGCAAUUGAACUGCAAUUGUAUCCUUGAAAUCUGACGAGAUGUAACAAAAGUAAUUAUUCCUCCUUACCUGCUCAUGUCCAUAUACUAAUACUCAUACUGUACAUAUUUUAUACUGUACUACUAUGAUAUAAUAUCACUGCCAUUUAAUAAAACCUCCUGCCUUACGAUCUAUU